AGUCAGAUGUCCCCCUCCCUUGCCUCACCCUAGUUACACCGCUGCUCUCAGUGAUUCUGCAAUUGAUAGUUUGACGAUCAAGCUUAUUGGUAAAGCAAUUUCCAAGAUUCUGGAGGCAAGCUUGUGACAAGGAUUGCAAAAACGAAAGGAUCUGGCAUCAGAAUCCUCUGUAAUUCGUUAGAUAUGCCAGUAAAGAAAGUCCAAGAAAUAUUUUUGCAUUAAUGCCUGAUGUCAAAUGUUUUCUCAUAACCAAUAGGAGAAAGAUUGUUUAGGGUGAAGAUCAAUAAUAAUGCUCCCAAGGACUUGUUGACUACACCUUGGAUAAUCUGGCGGAGCGCGCACUAAGAGCAGCAAUAUGCUCAAUAUGCCGGAUGCCAAUCAACAAUCGUCGAUACAUUGUAUUUAAUGGCGUGUGGUAUCAUAGUGGAUGUCUCUGCGCCCAAUUUCCUCCACCGGAUGAUAAGGAAGAAAUGAGGAAAAGAUAAGUCAAGUUUCACUGCCAUAAAUCCCAAAAGGACCUUGAUGCUUUUACUCAAAGUGUUACCUCAACAUAUUCAUGUAUUCACAUAAUUUCUUUUGUAAAAUCUUUAAGUUUAAAGGGAAAUAAAAGUUUUCAUCGAA